AGCUACCAUGGCAACCGAAUGCAGAAAGGCUUGUCCCAGGAAAUAGAUGAAUUCAUAAAUAACCCCGAAGUGCUGAUAUCAACAGUCGCAGGACCCUCCUGCAAUGCUAAUUUGACGCCCGUGCCCCCUGCGGCCUGUGUCCAGAGCAUCCUGGGCAUCUGGGGUGAGGGACGCUCGUGGCUUCCACCACAAGCAUCAUUCCAGGGCCAACAGACUGGCUGCCCUUACCUGGACCCUGGAAAUGCUGGGGCCACUUCGGGGCUGUCUGCUCUACACGGGGUGACAACCCUGCUGGACAUUCCCUGAGCACUUGUCUGAGAGCUGGUCACAUGCUGCCUGUGCCACUGUGGCUCUCCAUGACCUUCAUGUUCCACAACAGAACAGCUCCCCACGGCCACGAUUGUGCCAAGGGGCGUGAGUAGCCAGCAGGGGUCACGACAGCUGCCCGUCUGGCUGCCCACAGGAUGGAGCUAAGCCACGUUUCCAGGUGUGUGACCCUGGCCUCGAGUCAGUCCUCAGCCCAUCCUGAGGACCUCACAGAACCAUCUUUCCAGAAACCCCAGAGCAUCGUCAGCCAUUGCUGGCCCGCCAACCUGCCUCCUGUCUGAAGCUGUCUCUGUGUCCGGAAGAGCCAUUCACCCAACGGGUGUCUGUUUUACGCCCAAGUUGCUGAAUGGGGUGGCUGGGGACACAGGAGGGUGGUGGAGGAGCUGCCUGCCAGGGGGAAGGUUGGGGAGAUGUCCAGGCUGUGUUCAAGCUUCAGUUCUAACGCCCCCUGGAAGAGGACGCGGUGAGCCAGUCCCAGGGCUGUGGGACUCCUGUCCACACCUACCCUUAGCAGCCCAGACCACCUAGAGGGAGACAAUGGCGCCAGCAGGGCCAGCGGCCAGGGGGUCACUGUGCAGUGUAGGGCACCCUCGAAAGGCCAAGCCCUUUCUCUUGCGACCACUGACUGACCUUACAUGCCGCACUAACCGCUGCCUCCCCGAGGGUUCGGUCUGUGCCCCGCACGCAGCUUGUCAGCUCUGAGACAGAUCACUUGCUCCCCACGGCCUCGCUGCCAGCCCGGAAGGAGACUGUGGAGCAUCCCGGUGGAACCGGGACCCUGUGCUGUCUCCACGGGAGGCGUCCGGUGCCAGCCUGGCUCACCUGAGCCCCGGUGCACAGCAGGGCUUCGCACCAACCCCAUGCCCCGUGUGCUCUUGCCUGGAAGUGGGGUCUCCCUUUCUGUCUCUGUCUCUCUUCCCCCAUCUCUGUCUC